rnacentral:rRNA from 1 species
AAAUCAACCGAGAUUCCCCCAGUAGCGGCGAGCGAACGGGGAGCAGCCCGGAGUCUGAAUCAGCUUGUGUGUUAGUGGAACGGUCUGGAAAGUCCGACGGUACAGGGUGAUAGUCCCGUACACGAAAGCACACAUGCUGUGAACUCGAAGAGUAGGGCGGGACACGUGGUAUCCUGUCUGAAUAUGGGGGGACCAUCCUCCAAGGCUAAAUACUCCUGACUGACCGAUAGUGAACCAGUACCGUGAGGGAAAGGCGAAAAGAAC